AUACGGAGGGUGCAAGCGUUGUCCGGAUUUAUUGGGUUUAAAGGGUGCGUAGGCGGUGCGCUAAGUCAGUGGUGAAAUCCCGCAGCUCAACCGCGGAACUGCCAUUGAUACUGGCGCACUUGAGUACGGACGAGGUAGGCGGAAUUUAUGGUGUAGCGGUGAAAUGCAUAGAUACCAUAAAGAACACCGAUAGCGAAGGCAGCUUACUAGACCGUAACUGACGCUCAGGCACGAAAGCGUGGGGAGCGAACAGAAUUAGAAACCCCAGUAGUCC
rnacentral:rRNA from 1 species